CCUACGGGAGGCAGCAGUAGGGAAUUUUGCGCAAUGGGCGAAAGCCUGACGCAGCAACGCCGCGUGAUUGAUGAAGCCCUUCGGGGUGUAAAGAUCUGUCAGGAGGGACGAAACUUGACGGUACCCACAGAGGAAGCACCGGCUAACUCCGGACCAGCAGCCGCGGUAAUACGGAGGGUGCAAGCGUUGUCCGGAAUCAUGGGGCGUAAAGGGUGCGUAGGUGGCUUGUUAAGUCUGGUGUUAAAUGCAGGGGCUCAACUUCUGUUCGGCACUUGAUACUGGUAAGCUUGAAUGCGGGAGAGGUAAAGGGAAUUCCUGGUGUAGCGGUGAAAUGCGUAGAUAUCAGGAGGAACACCGGUGGCGUAGGCGCUUUACUGGGCUGUAAUUGACGCUGAGGAACGAAAGCCGGGGUAGCAAAUGGGAUUAGAUACCCGAGUAGUC
rnacentral:rRNA from 1 species